AUUGAACGCUGGCGGCAGGCCUAACACAUGCAAGUCGAACGGUAGCACAGAGAGCUUGCUCUCGGGUGACGAGUGGCGGACGGGUGAGUAAUGUCUGGGAAACUGCCCGAUGGAGGGGGAUAACUACUGGAAACGGUAGCUAAUACCGCAUAACGUCUUCGGACCAAAGUGGGGGACCUUCGGGCCUCACACCAUCGGAUGUGCCCAGAUGGGAUUAGCUAGUAGGUGGGGUAAUGGCUCACCUAGGCGACGAUCCCUAGCUGGUCUGAGAGGAUGGCCAGCCACACUGGAACUGAGAGACGGUCCAGACUCCUACGGGAGGCGGCAGUGGGGAAUAUUGCACGAUGGGCGCAAGCCUGAUGCAGCCAUGCCGCGUGUAUGAAGAAGGCCUUCGGGUUGUAAAGUACUUUCAGCGGGGAGGAAGGCGUUAAGGUUAAUAACCUUGGCGAUUGACGUUACCCGCAGAAGAAGCACCGGCUAACUCCGUGCCAGCCGCCGCGGUAA
rnacentral:rRNA from 1 species